rnacentral:rRNA from 1 species
GAUGAACGCUAGUGGGAGGCUUAACACAUGCAAGUCGAGGGGCAGCAUAAGGUAGCAAUACUUUGAUGGCGACCGGCGCACGGGUGAGUAACGCGUAUGUAACCUGUCCUUAACAGGAGGAUAACCCGGAGAAAUUCGGACUAAUACUGCAUAAAAUUAUAAAUAGGCAUCUAUUAAUAAUUAAAGCUACGGCGGUUAGGGAGGGGCAUGCGUAACAUUAGCUGGUUGGUAGGGUAACGGCCUACCAAGGCAAUGAUGUUUAGGGGACCUGAGAGGGUGACCCCCCACACUGGUACUGAGACACGGACCAGACUCCUACGGGAGGCAGCAGUGAGGAAUAUUGGUCAAUGGGCGGCAGCCUGAACCAGCCAUCCCGCGUGAAGGAAGAAUGCGCUAUGCGUUGUAAACUUCUUUUUCAGGGGGAUAAAAUUCUGUAUGUAUACAGGACUGAAGGUACCCUGAGAAUAAGCAUCGGCUAACUCCGUGCCAGCAGCCGCGGUAAAACGUG